CUGGAGACAGGUGCUGCAUGGCGUGUCGUCAGCUCGUGUCGUGAGAUGUUGGGUUAAGUCCCGCAACGAGCGCAACCCUUGCCUUUAGUUGCCAGCAGUUCGGCUGGGCACUCUAAAGGGACUGCCGGUGUUAAACCGGAGGAAGGUGGGGAGUGACGUCAAGUCCUCAUGGCCUUUAUGACCACGGGCUACACACGUACUACAAUGGCCGAUACAAAGGGCAGCGACACUGCGAGGUGAAGCCAAUCCCGUAAAAUCGGUCUCAGUCCGGAUUGGAGUCUGCAACUCGACUCCAUGAAGUUGGAAUCGCUAGUAAUCGUGGAUCAGCAUGCCACGGUGAAUACGUUCCCGGGCCUU
rnacentral:rRNA from 1 species